ACUUAGGAGUCUGGUGCAGCUGCUACAAUAAAUAAAAAGCUAAACAUGCUCUCUAAAAUAGCUAAGGAGCCAAAAUAGAGAGUUUGCUAAAAACGCUCUUAGCUCAUGUUUUGAUAUUAAAGAGUCAUCCUUUUAUGCUGGUUUUGUUUACUUAGGUUUAAAGCAGCUUUAGUUGUUUAGGCUGGUGUUCUUUUUGAUUUGAUAAGACCUUGAAUUUGGUGGUUUUGAUCUUCGGGGUUUUUGUCAUUUUGACUCUUUCAAAUGUAUAAAUAUAUUCUAUAUGUGAAACUCAUUUAGAUCACACCCUCCUCAAUAAGAGCUCUUGGGUUUUCUUUGUAUUUGGAUAUACUCUUUCAUCCAAGACAACUCUUCGUCCAUUCUUUUCCCUCUUUAUGGUGUGGAAUUGAAUUUUUUUGGGUUGAGAUCAUUCUGGACCAAGUUUUGGAAAAACCCAACAAAUUGGAAUAUCCAAUUCAAUGACGUUUAGGAGAAUCCUGUUUGUUUGUGAUAAAAAUACUAAUACUGAGCUUCAAGUAAAAAAAAAAUUGUAUCACAUGCUUGAUGUAAGGAAAAAGUUAAUAUAGCCUUUUCUUAACUCAUAUUUUCCAAGAUCGUAUCAGAGAUAGGUGAGAGUCAUCGUCCUAAGCUUUAAGGAAAGCUGAGGUCUUUACAGUAUGUGUCCAAUAGUUUCUCCAUCAAUCAUCAUAUUAUAUUUAAUGUGAAUGGCUUUUAAUGAUCGUGGUCCAUGUUUAAUUACAUUUGACAGUGAUGCAAAUCCAUGAGGCUCUUAAUUGAGAGCAUUCUGAUUUGCACCAUUAAGGAUCAUAUGAAAAUCCAGUUUCAGGCUAAUGGAUGGACCACAUUUGAAUGGUCUAGAAUUCUUCGAUGUGUUUCUUACUCUAUUACUAUUAGUGAUUAAGAGGAAGUUGGUACUCUAAUUUGUUGAAUUAGUGAACUAAUCAUUUUUUAUAAAGUGUUUAAAAACUAUGGCAAGCCAAAAAGGUGGCUUUUCCCAAGAUUGUCCAUUAUUGACAAACGAUUUUGGCCCUAUGUUUGUCUUCCUUACUCCCUAGCUUGCAAGUGACACAAUGACAUCACGUUACUUUUGUUGAAUAUAAUUGUAUGUUGUUGAUAAAAUUCAUGCACUUGGCAUGGUACAACUAAUUGUUGUCGUUCCAACCUGGCUUAUUGUCUCUAGCUAUUUGCUAGUGUUUGUAAGAUAGGUGUUUUCAUAAGCAAGCAUUUUAGGGUUUUGUUAGAUUUGUGCUAUGCUUUUAUGUUAUUUCUGAGACCUAUGUUACUUUUGACUGUUUAAUGUAUAAAGUUAAUAACUCCAACUAUUUAUUGGCAGGUAGUGAAGAGGAGGCCUUCUUUAAUUUCAGGUAUUGGUUGGACUCAGAUUAUGAAGAUGACUUCCACAGUAAGGAAUCAGUCAUGAAGUUUAUGAAACUUGGAUCUUGGCCAGAUACCUUUUACACUUAUGAGGCUAUAAGUCAGUUUCCUUUGAAGUUUCAAAGUGAUCUAAUUCAAGUGAAGGGAAGAAGAUAUUUGCUUCACAAGUUUCCACUUCUGUCAAAGUGUUUGAGGCCGCGAAGGCUUUGCUUUGAAUAUGUAUAAACCUAUAAUCCAACUGCGUGAUUUUCCGAGUGGAGUUAAGGCAUUUGAGCACGGCACAAAAUUCUGCUAUGAAAUCACAAUUACUCUUAGUGCCCACAAUAUUGUAGCUGUUAGCAGCGGUGCAAAGUUCUUGAACGACUAAGGAAGUUGAGAAGGGAAACUUGAUAUAUAAGCUUGAGGUGUUCUUCAACUCUUGCAUACUCCAUGGCAGGAGCGACGCAAUUGCCCACUCUACUAAUAAGCACGAAGGUGAUCAACUGCUUAAUUUUCAGUUCAAUACACAAAUGAGCUUCGGGGUUGUUGUAUGAAAUGUUUACUGAACAUGUGAAAGAUCUAUUUGAAGCUGAGAACUUCAUUUGAUUACUAUUAGUUGUUAGUUCACUUAAAAAGAAAGCA